AACGAAAGAUGGAGGAAGGAAGAACACAGGCAAGUCGAACGAGACCUUCGGGUCUAGUGGCGCACGGGUGCGUAACGCGUGGAAACCUGCCUUUAGGUUCGGAAUAACUCAGAGAAAUUUGAGCUAAUACCGGAUGAUGUCUUCGGACCAAAGAUUUAUCGCCUUUAGAUGGGCCCGCGUUGGAUUAGCUAGUUGGUGGGGUAAAGGCCUACCAAGGCGACGAUCCAUAGCUGGUCUGAGAGGAUGAUCAGCCACACUGGGACUGAGACACGGCCCAGACUCCUACGGGAAGCAGCAGUGGGGAAUAUUGGACAAUGGGCGAAAGCCUGAUCCAGCAAUGCCGCGUGAGUGAUGCAGGCCUUAGGGUUGUAAAGCUCUUUUACCCGAGAUGAUAAUGACAGUAUCGGGAGAAUAAGCGCCGGCUACCUCCGUG
rnacentral:rRNA from 1 species